rfam:Trichinella spiralis unplaced genomic scaffold Scfld1, whole genome shotgun sequence.
CCAACGGUCCUUUUCAGGACCACAUUAUUUUUAUUCCCAUCGAUG